rnacentral:rRNA from 1 species
GAUGAACGCUGGCGGUAUGCCUAACACAUGCAAGUCGUACGAGAGUUUUUAACUCUAGUGGCGGACGGGUGAGUAACACGUGAGAAUUUGCCUUUAGGAGGGGACAACAAUUGGAAACGAAUGCUAAUACCCCAUAUGCUUUCGAGUGAAAUGGAUUUUAUCCGCCUAGAGAGAAGCUCGCGGCUGAUUAGCUUGUUGGUAAGGUAAGAGCUUACCAAGGCGACGAUCAGUAUCUGGUUUGAGAGGACGAUCAGACACACUGGAACUGAGACACGGUCCAGACUCCUACGGGAGGCAGCAGUGGGGAAUUUUGGACAAUGGACGCAAGUCUGAUCCAGCCAUUCCGCGUGCAGGAUGAAGGCCCUCGGGUUGUAAACUGCUUUGUACGGAACGAAACGGUCUGCUCUAAUACAGUGGGCUAAUGACGGUACCGUAAGAAUAAGCACCGGCUAACUACGUG